GGUGCCCAUAGUUCAGUUGGUUAGAGCGUCAGAUUGUGGUUCUGAAUGUCGACGGUUCGAGUCCGUCUGGGCACCC
rnacentral:tRNA from 1 species